rnacentral:rRNA from 1 species
ACACUCCUGCGGGAGGCAGCAGUGGGGAAUAUUGGACAAUGGGCGCAAGCCUGAUCCAGCCAUGCCGCGUGAGUGAUGAAGGCCCUAGGGUUGUAAAGCUCUUUCACCGGAGAAGAUAAUGACGGUAUCCGGAGAAGAAGCCCCGGCUAACUUCGUGCCAGCAGCCGCGGUAAUACGAAGGGGGCUAGCGUUGUUCGGAAUUACUGGGCGUAAAGCGCACGUAGGCGGAUCGAUCAGUCAGGGGUGAAAUCCCAGGGCUCAACCCUGGAACUGCCUUUGAUACUGUCGAUCUGGAGUAUGGAAGAGGUGAGUGGAAUUCCGAGUGUAGAGGUGAAAUUCGUAGAUAUUCGGAGGAACACCAGUGGCGAAGGCGGCUCACUGGUCCAUUACUGACGCUGAGGUGCGAAAGCGUGGGGAGCAAACAGGAUUAGAUACCCUAGUAGUCCCAUG